rnacentral:rRNA from 1 species
CCGGCGCACGGGUGAGUAACGCGUAUGCAACUUACCUAUCAGGAGGGGGAUAACCCGGCGAAAGUCGGACUAAUACCGCAUGAAGCAGGGGCCCCGCAUGGGGAUAUUUGCUAAAGAUUCAUCGCUGAUAGAUAGGCAUGCGUUCCAUUAGGCAGUUGGCGGGGUAACGGCCCACCAAACCGACGAUGGAUAGGGGUUCUGAGAGGAAGGUCCCCCACAUUGGUACUGAGACACGGACCAAACUCCUACGGGAGGCAGCAG